rnacentral:lncRNA from 1 species
CUGCAAGGCCGCUACAACUGACCGACAAUGUGCAUCUCAUUUUUAUGUUUUGACUUUAUGUGGGGAGCUUUCAGUUAACUGUGAUGAGCUCCAACCUGCCUCAGAAGAAGUAACUACAAGUGUUUCUAUUGUUCAAUGUUUUGGGGUUCGUCCCAUCUGCACAGGGUGGCCCAUGGUGAUGCUAUGUGGAUGUGCGUUGAGUACUUAAACAUCAAAAGCAAUCAGGAAAUCUCUGCUGAAAUGCAAAGGAAAUGACAUAAAGUUGCAAAUAACACCAUAUGCAAUAAAAUGUUGUAUAUUUUAUUCUGAGUCACCUAGACCAUGCGAAGAUUUAAAAUGGAUUAAAGACAGACAUUGUGUCAAACCUGGUAAAGAUUUCGUGACAGAUGACCUUGAGCUUUACAACAUUCACCUAGAAUCGUCAUUUAUAUAACGUGGGCAAAGACAGAUCUCCUUAAAUUCAUUCUAAAUCUUUUGCAACAUCUUUGAAAAUCUACUUCUAA